GAAGAGGUGGAGAAGAGCUACGACCCGAACGAUGCCACCCUGAAAUUUGUCGACAGGGAGGACGACAUAGAUCCGUUAUCUGACAGCUGCCUCAGAGCAGAGAUGUCCUGCGGUCACGCCGUCACUCCUGAAUCUCUAACGUCGUGGUGUCGCAGCCUGCUAAAGCAGGGGAAGUAUGAAUUCAGAUGCCCCGCAUUAGUAGAUGGAACCAAACAGUGCAAUGAGCUGUGGCCGUACAAAGAGGUGCGCAGACUGGCUGAUCUGUCUGUGAAGGAAAUGCAGGAGUUUGAAGAGUCCAUGGCCCGACUGGCUG